GUCCCUUCUGUUCUCCUCGGGCUCGGAAGUAGAAAGGAUGGUGUCCGUGUGGAGGCGCUGUGUUUCGUGGGUGUGAGACACGGAUACAUCUGUGUGAGGAUCACAAAGCCGACAGAUUGGUGGCCGCUGUGGCGAGGUCGACCAGAUGGCCCGACAGGUUGUUGGGGAUUUUUGUUACCAUUUGUGUUGUAAUUUUAUCCACAGAGUAUCCAAUUGAAGACGACCGGAGAAGGAUGUUGAAGUGAAGAACUUUCUUAACACACUGAGAAGUUGGGGAACCUCUCCUUCUAGCCACGAGGCCCUGCCCUGCAGCAACCGACCUGGAAAACCAGACCCCAGCCCCUGCAGGAUUCAGUGAGUGGCCCAGAACUGAUGAUUACACAACUCAGUUUAAACUCUGUGAAAGUGAAGCUGCUCAGUCAUGCCUGACUCUUUGCAACCCCAUGGACUGUAGCCUACCAGGCUCCUCUGUCCAUGGGAUAUUUCAGGCAAGAGUACUGGAGUGGGUUGCCAUUUCCUUCUCCAGGGGAUCUUCCCAAGCCAGGGAUCCAGCCCGGGUCUCCCACAUUGUAGGGAGAUGCUUUGCCAUCUGAGCCACUUAAACUCUGUACUAGGGAUUAUAUAACAACAAUGUAUCCUGCUUGAGGACAGUUUCUCCUUCCUGAAAACCUUCUGAUUAAUCCUGAUAUCUUAGAAUGUAUAUUAUGGGAAUGGGUCUGGUAGGAUCUUUCUGUUAAAUUCUAGUCCUGUUAUCCUAAAAUGUUAAUUGUGGGAGUGGGUCUGGUAAAACUUUCACACACUUGAGACAUUCUUUUGAUUUACUGUAGUAACUAAUUUAAAAAGUAUACACCUCCCUUGCUAACACUAGCAAGGGGGGGCACUCCCCACCCCCUUCUGCUGUCCAUGUCAGAAGCUUUCUCUGACCUUUUCCCACUGUCAUGAAACUCUGCUACACAAACGCUCUUGAGUGAUCAAUCCUGGUCCCUGGUCCUGAAGCUAAAUCUUCUUCGGAGAUCCUGAAUCCGACAUCGUUCACAGUAAGCUCGAUUGAAUCUAUAACAAUCUCUUAAAAGCCAAAUAUAAUCUUAAAAUAAGCUAUGCCGCUGCUAAGUCACUUCAGUCGUGUCCGACUCUGUGCGACCCCACAGAUGGCAGCCCACCAGACUCCCCUGCCCCUGGGAUUCUCCAGGCAAGAACACUGGAGUGGGUUGCCAUUUGAAAAAUGAGAGUGAAGUCUCUCAGUUGUGUCCGACUCUUAGCGACCCCAUGGACCGCAGCCUACAAGGCUCCUCCAUCCAUGGGAUUUUCCAGGCAAGAGUACUGGAGUGGGGUGCCAUUGCCUUCUCCAAAAUAAGCUAAACGCCCUAUUAAAAUAAAAUAAAAUUCAACUGACUAAAAUUUUAAAAU
rnacentral:lncRNA from 1 species